GGAUUUAAAACUCUGAACAGAGCUAGUAAUGCAACUUACAUUUUAACUUAAAAUCUGCACCUGGAAAAGACACAGCAUGAGAUGUCUCUCAUUGAGCUCUCAAGCUUGGUUUUUUUUGUAUGACACAGCAGUUUUGCACACUAAAUCAGAGUUUUAGAGAACCAGUUUGUUCACCUCAAGCCCACUAUUGCCUUUCUUCUUUUUAUUGAUAAAAUGGGCCUAAGCGUGGUGCUGUAGAUUUUGCAGAUUGCAGAUGAAAAUCAGUAGUUUGGCUCUGUAGGCUCCGAGUUCUCUUGGACUUUGAUAGUGAUGGUUGACACCAGGAACCCAAGAUUAAGAAACUUGAGAAGUCAAGCACUUCUCAAGUUUGCAAAGAAUCUGGCAGAUGAGCAAAAAGGACUUGUUUUAUUUAAUAGCAGCUUUCUCUGGAAAACACAUUCCACUUCUUGCCACAACUGAGGGGUUUUGUGUUUGUUUUUUUCAAGGUAAGCUGUAGUAUAAUAAAGCCAGAAAAUAAUGUUAUGGUAAAUCAGUUAAUUACUACAGCAGAACUUAGGUAGGUUAGGACAUACAAACAUCUCGAGGCAGGCUUGGUUGGUUGCUUAGUCCUUUCACAAGAAACAAAUAGCAAACUUUAAGUGACACCCUGGAGAACUGUGCAGAUCAACACAGCUGGAGAGAACAUCUUUUCUUCUUUACUUUAUAGACUUAUUGUUCAUCUGGCUAGUCAGGAAAUGGGUCACAGGCAGGAGAAUAAUCAGAUGGAGACCUUGAACUGCUACUACUUACUUUAAAGAGCAGGCUUUUGCUGUCCCUCCUCUCACCCACAGGUCAAUGUCCAAUGACAUGGUGUUGCAAGCGGGUUAUCUGUCGCAGGGACAAAGAGAGGAAGUGCUUGCAGUGUGUGCUUUUAAAAGAGACUUAUGUAGUCUUGCAGUUUUAAGUAGAAAAAACUAAAUGGGAGUCAUUUAUCAAACACUACUUUGUACCUGUUGUCCUCAAAACAGACUUUAAGCUAAUAUAGCAUGUCAGUCAUUCCUUCAGAUUGCAGUGCUGUCAUUCUCUGAACAAUUCUUAGAUGGCAUUACAAGAUGACAUGGUGAAUUGGAAUUAAAAACGAAGAAUAUUUUUCUGCAAGUGACAUAUUUAAUAGGCAGUUGUCACUUUGAAGGAAUUAAAUAGCUCUUAAUGUUGAAAAUGAAUUAGUAUUGAUUAUGGAAUAGAAAUUACUGGCCACUCAAAAACCUGAAGAUUCUUCUUGUUUGAUAGAAAGAAUUUAUGUUAUUUUAUUUAAUAGAUAAUUUGACUUAUUAACUUGAGAAUAUAUUUAGUAUUCUAAAGUAAUACUGUAUAAAACCUAGAACUAAGUGUGUUACAAGCAUGACGAAGCUCCUGAAAAUGACAGUUCACAGGCUUUCUGAGCCAAAUAAAGACUGAACCUCAGCCAAGUGGAAAAACUAAUGGCAAAAAUCCUGUAGUGAAAUGGAGUAGGAAGAGCUCAUCUGUAUGUAGCAUUGCAGACAAAGAUGAAAUUUCACUAGGAUAGCUAGAUUAGGUUUUGGUAUGAAAACCAGUUCUGGUUACUAUUAUCUGCAAAGAAUGGUAGGGUUUAAAAAUAAAGAAUAGACAUGGAACCACUGAAGAAAUUAGUAGCUUUCUUUAGUGAUAGAUUAAAGAAAUAGCCACAGAAUAUCAUUAUAGAAAACAAGCCCUUUGUUGCCUUUAGAUGGCUGUUCUUGUGGAUAUGAACUCCAUGUUUUGGAGUCUUUUCUAUGUAUGUACCUCUUUAGUUGUCCUGGAAAACAAAAAUCAUUCUGCUGCAUGGAACUACAGGAUUUCUGUAAAAGGCCUCUCUGUUUUUCAAAUAGUGAGUUUUGACACCUAACUUAGCUUGGUUUGUGUCCUCAAAUUUCCAGGAACACUUACUUGGUUGAAAGACACCUUGAUGCAUGCCAGCUUGAGACAUGAACAUGAUAUGCAGUAACACCUCCAUCCAGUGCAGCUUGUCAUGUAAGCCAAACACUGAUCUCUCUUGAUGAGAACUACCUUGAUUCCUCAAAGUUUAGUGGUAGCCUCUUUUCUAUAUCAUUUUUCUAGUACAAAAUCACAUGGUGUAGUCAGGGGGUUUAAUAUAGCACUGCCAACUCUUUACCUCAGUACACUCUAAUCUGUAACAUGGAGAGUGGUGGGUAGGGUGUUUCAGUAGCAACUCUAAAAUAUCUGUGCCUACUUCUGUAAUGAGUGUUUAACAGGUUUCUAGGGAGCAUCCAAUAUGGAUCAGGAAGACUGGCAUGGUCUGGGUCAGACUUGGCCUGAAUUAACAUUGACUCCACACACUCCUAGAUGAGGACUGUCUAGCCUAGUGAGGAAGUAAUUGGUAAGACAAUACAAGACCUAGUGCUUUUUAAUAUUACCUGUUUUGUAAUUAGCUGGGGUGAUCUCUGCUUUGUGCUGUGAAGUGGGCACUUCUUUGUUUUAACACUAAUCUUUUUUUACAUAGAUGGAAAUGAGUAAAGCCAGGAUAUUUGGAGCUGAAACUGCCACUCUGCUACCCAGGUUGAUGCUAUCUCUUUGCUUAUCUUGGUGGUUGGACAGUUUAGCUUGAUUCUUGACUUCUUUAUCUUUCUAUAAUGGCAUUUGGAAAGCGGUGUUGAAGUUUGUCUGUGUGUUGAUAUGCUUGUUUUCUUAUUGGGUGGGGAGUAUGGAGGUACUAGAUUGUCAGUGCUAGUGGUUCUGUGCCUGGCUUGAUGAACUGUAUCACAGCCUAGCUCUUGGCAUAUGUGUGAAGGCCAUAUCUUCUGUCUGAUGUGAAAAUAUUCACAGUCAGAGAGGAAAAAAGAGCUGCACUGACUUCCAAGGUGGGCAUUCUGGUAAAAAAGCCAAAGUAUGUUGGAAGGGAGCAGGAGGGGGGAGCUAUUUUUAAACAGAUCCCCAAAGCUGAUGGUGUUUGGAGACUGUAUUGACAUGAAAUGCCAUCUGCAUUGACCCCAAAAGCUUUGAGUGACUCCAGAGAGCUAUUGGCUGUGAAUUAAAGCAGCAGGCUGGCAAGGCUGGCUCUGCUGCGGCUGCACACCCUUCCAUUGUGAAUCUCUCUUCAUCUGUUCAUAACUGGGUGCCAAAACUCAAUUCCUACUAAAAUUACAGUAUGCAGAUCUCUGGCCAGUCAGUGCAUCUUACUCCUUUCUAACAGCUACUUAAACUUUCUUCAAGAUACCAGAGCAUGAGAAGUAUUCCAGGAGAAUGGCUAGGUAAGAGACUGUUUCCAUUAUUGGAAUGAAAACUACAACUGAUGGAGAGCAAAUCUUUUUGAUAAGUAGGAUGUGAGAGAGCAUUUUAUGAGGGAAGUAACAGAUUUUGAAUAGCAUUGCUUCUCUGCUGGUGCUUCCCAUCAAUCUCUUGUGCUGAGCUUGUGUGCAGGCGGUUGGGCACAAAGGCUGAGAGGAGGUAGCAGGGAGAAGGGGGAUGUGGAAGAGAAAUGAUCUUUUGGUAGCUCACAAGACUUGGAAAGCAUGGUGGUGGACUUAGGUUUGAAAACACGUGUUCAAACUCCCAUUUGCAUUGGAGCCAUUAACUCUCUUUAGGAUAAUGAGUGCUCUUCCAGUGAACAGGUUUUGUUAUCUGGAACGUGUAAUGAGUUUGAAUUGCUGAUACACGUUAAGAAGUAUUUCUGGAGACUCCACUUAACAAAAUGGCUAGUAUUUAUUGCUCUUGUGAUGAGUUGUCUUGUUUAUGGAAUCAAUAUGUAUGAAAGCAAACUGACAAAACACAAAGUUAUCUCAUGACACAAUCAUGUAGCUAGGAAGCCAAUUAAUGUUAUCUUUUAUUCUGCAAUUUACUUGCUCUCUGGUGCCUAUGCAUUAACACACAUACUAUGCAAUAUCAUUCUUUUUUUAAAACCAGUUCACUGCAUUGGGCAAGAAAGGCCUGAGUUUAGCCUUAAUUUUCUAACAAUUCACAGGAAAAUACUUUAAAAACAGUGACAAACUAAAAGGUGGUGAAAAAUGCAUAAAGUAAAAGCACAGUUCCAGACUGCUCACAUAAGUGUCUUUCUAGCACCAAAACAGCAUCCAUGAUAGAAGCAGCUACUUGCUGUAAUAGUUUCAAUUUAUGAAAACUGUGUACUAGAUAAAAUUAUAUUGUGAUGUGUAAAAAGUGUAUUUUAUAGCUUUGGUGACUUAGUUUACUGUUUUGUAUAUAUGAAUUUUAUAAAUCUAUUAAAACUUGACUUG
rnacentral:lncRNA from 1 species